UAUAAAUCCAUUUGCUGCAUUUUCUAAGAAGGAAAGGGAUCAAAGAUACAAGGAGUUGGGUUUCAGAGACAGAAUUACUUUAAGUAGUGGACGUUUCCUUCUGGGCAACAAGUAUGCUCGAACUUUUGCAUUUUUCUACACCAUCGGGUUACAUAUCCUGGUGUUCACCUGUCUCUACAGGAUGUCAGCUUUAUUAAGCUAUCUGAGUAAUGGCGGGGAAUCCUUUACCGGAGAUAAAAUGCAGAACCUCCCACAUGCACUUUAGUUUUACAUCGGUGCUAAUUUUUUAUCUCGUAAAAUGAAAAUGAUUUAGAGUGAAAAAAGCGAAUCCAUAUAGCCGACCCCAA
rnacentral:misc_RNA from 1 species